CUGAACCGCAGAACGGACUGUACACUACACAGCACAUCCAAAAGUAUGUGGACGCGUGACCAUUAAACCCAUAUGAGUUUCUUCCCCAAACUGUUGCCACAAAGUUUGAAGCACACGCUUGUCUAGAAUAUCUUUGUAUGCUGUAGCAUUAAGAUUUCCCUUCAGUGGCUCUAAAGGCUCCAAAACUGUUUCAUCAUGACAAUGAUACUUUUGGCCAUGUAGGCAGAACAGCAAAGUGGUUAUAUAUACACAGUCUGAUCCAUAAGUAUUUGGACAGUGACACAAUUUUCAUACUUUUGCAUCUGGACACCACCACAGUGGAUAUGAAAUGCAUGCAUGCAUGCAUCUUCUAUACCGUUUAUCCUACAGGGCCGCGGGGAAGCUGGAGCAUAUCCCAGGGAGCAUGGGGCACAAGGCGGGAUACACCCUGGACGGGAUGCCAAUCCACCACAGGACACAAUCACAUACACAUUCACACACCCCUUCAUACACUACGGACACUUUGGACAUGCCAAUCAGCUUACCAUGCAUGUAUUUGGACUGGGGGAGGAAACUGGAGUACCCGGAGGAAACCCCCACAGCACAGGGAGAACAUGCAAAGUCAGUGACUGCCUGAAGUCUGGAACUGUGGACAUCACCAAAUGCUGAGUUUCUUCCAUUGAGAUGUUUUGCCUGGCCUUUUCUGCAGCUGCCUUCAGUUACUGAUUGAAUGUGGGUCUUUCUGCCUUCAGGUGUCCCCGGUCUUGUGCCCUGCCUCCCCUGGGAUAGGGUCCAGGCAACCCUGUGUAGGUGGAUGGAUGGAUGGAUGACUUAGUUGACACUUGAAGUAGUUUGGAGUUGGCCGAUGGACCACCUUAAGUUACACUUCAGCUCCACCCCUUUAGGAUGUGAGGGAAGGAAGCAAGGAUGAGAUGCCUGGAGAGAGGAACCAAGACAAGUCGAAUGGAAUAUCCUCGCUCUCUCAAGCGUUACUUCAAAGCGACGUCAAUUAAUGAUGACUGUGAUCAGCUGGAUUACCUCGCUACGCUUCAGGGAUCUGCCGUUAUGCUUGUUCCUUUUUUUGAUGUUCUGUUAUGUUGUUUGAGCUUGGUGAAUAACAACAUUCUUAAUAAAGCAAAAUGCACUGAUAGUAUGUGA